rnacentral:rRNA from 1 species
UACGGAGGGUGCAAACGUUGCUCGGAAUCAUUGGGCGUAAAGCGCACGUAGGCGGCCUGUUAAGUCGGAUGUGAAAGCCCCGGGCUCAGCCCGGGAAGGGCGCUAGAAACUGCCGAGCUCGAGUGCCGGAGGGGAGAGUGGAAUUCCUGGUGUAGCGGUGAAAUGCGUAGAUAUCAGGAGGAAUACCGGUGGCGAAAGCGACUCUCUGGACGGCAACUGACGCUGAGGCACGAAAGCGUGGGGAGCAAACAGG